UUCUCAUCACGGAUCUGUGCCAGCGCUCCUCUGCUCCCGACCAACGGGAUGUCAGGGUCGAGUGCUGAGCAGCUCGAUACACACAUGGAGCCAUCAACUCGAUAUGGUGUCAAUCUUCCUGUCGACAGGUCCUAGAGAAACGGUCCUCCCCGUUUUCUGGCUGGUUCGUCGUUCCGACCUUUGCGGGUUGGCGCGGCUUGAGCUGCAAAGGCUGGUUGGGGAGUGUCCGGGGCGCUAUAUUCCACUCCGUUUUUCCGAGACCAUUGGUCUUUGAGGUUGGGGAAAACCAUAGCAAUUGCCUACAUUU
rnacentral:sRNA from 1 species